UUAAGAUAUGAACUUUGGGAAACUAUGCCCAAUGAUAUUGUGUUGUACUAUUUACUUUAAUAUUAGGUAUUUGAUGUUAAUUUGUGUACCAUAUCUUAAUAUUUUUAUUUCAUUAAGAACGAAUUCGAUGAAUGCUAGAUUUUUUUUUACGAAAACAAAAACUACUGGGUUAAAAGUUAGUAAAAAUUGACCCAGUAAUUUUCAAUUUACUUGAAUUUUUCUUUUAUGAUGAUUUGCUUGGAGCCAAAAUUAGUUCAAUUAUCAAAAUAACUUAGUUAAUUUUUUGCGUAAUUUUUUUUUUUUGAUAUUCUUUUGUGAUAAUUGUCAUGAAUAAAUGUAUUUUGAAAGUGAGUAUGUUAAGUACAUUACUGUAGAUACAACCAAAGAAGAUUUAUUAAAAGUGUUUCGAUCGAAAAGUAUAUUAAAACAACGUGUGUAGGUAGUUGGAAAAAAUCGCUUUUAUUUUUACGGCGAGACUGCAAUUUGUCAAACAUUUUUUGCACUUAAUGUAUUGAGUAAUUACUUACUAUGGUUUAAUUAAUAUCGUUAAGAGACCUUUUAUUUCUCUUUAUUCUCUAAAUAAAUGAGAUUUGCUACA